rnacentral:tRNA from 4 species
GGGCGGUUAGCUCAAUGGUAGAGCAUCUCGUUUACACCGAGGAGGUUAGAGGUUCGAGUCCUCUAUCGCCCA